CAUGCACUGAUGGGGUCCCUCAGCCAGGCCUGGGCCCUCCUGCAAUCCAGGACUCCUUGGGAGAUGUCAGGAAGCCAGUUUUGGCCUGAUUCCCACAGGCCAGGCUGAGGGACCCCACCGGUGCACA
rnacentral:pre_miRNA from 1 species